UACGUAGGGUGCAAGCGUUACUCGGAAUUACUGGGCGUAAAGCGUGCGCAGGCGGUUGUAUAAGACAGAUGUGAAAUCCCCGGGCUCAACCUGGGAACUGCAUUUGUGACUGUACAGCUGGAGUGCGGCAGAGGGGGAUGGAAUUCCGCGUGUAGCAGUGAAAUGCGUAGAUAUGCGGAGGAACACCGAUGGCGAAGGCAAUCCCCUGGGCCUGCACUGACGCUCAUGCACGAAAGCGUGGGGAGCAAACAGG
rnacentral:rRNA from 1 species